rnacentral:lncRNA from 1 species
ACCACCAUUAGAAAGAUACAUAUAAAUCAUCAUAUUAUAAAUGAUAAUUUUGAUAGCCAGAUGAGCACCAGGCGUAUGGCACCUCCAAUGAUCAUCUAAACUAUUGGACCCAUUAUCAUCUAACUUAAUAGGAGUCUAUGACUUUGUUAUCUCCAUAACAUUGUUAUUUUAAGGACCUAAUAAUUUUUAAAGAUUUAGUUACAUGUUUUAGAAAAAUUUUGAUCUACAAGUCAUAAAUCCUCCCACUAACUUCAUCAAGUUAUGAAAAGGAC